rnacentral:rRNA from 1 species
UGGCGAGUGGCGGACGGGUGAGGAAUACAUCGGAAUCUACUUUUUCGUGGGGGAUAACGUAGGGAAACUUACGCUAAUACCGCAUACGACCUACGGGUGAAAGCAGGGGAUCUUCGGACCUUGCGCGAUUGAAUGAGCCGAUGUCGGAUUAGCUAGUUGGCGGGGUAAAGGCCCACCAAGGCGACGAUCCGUAGCUGGUCUGAGAGGAUGAUCAGCCACACUGGAACUGAGACACGGUCCAGACUCCUACGGGAGGCAGCAGUGGGGAAUAUUGGACAAUGGGCGCAAGCCUGAUCCAGCCAUACCGCGUGGGUGAAGAAGGCCUUCGGGUUGUAAAGCCCUUUUGUUGGGAAAGAAAUCCAGCCGGCUAAUACCUGGUUGGGAUGACGGUACCCAAAGAAUAAGCACCGGCUAACUUCGUGCCAGCAGCCGCGGUAAUACGAAGGGUGCAAGCGUUACUCGGAAUUACUGGGCGUAAAGCGUGCGUAGGUGGUUGUUUAAGUCUGUUGUGAAAGCCCUGGGCUCAACCUGGGAACUGCAGUGGAAACUGGACAACUAGAGUGUGGUAGAGGGUAGCGGAAUUCCCGGUGUAGCAGUGAAAUGCGUAGAGAUCGGGGAGGAACAUCCAUGGCGAAGGCAGCUACCUGGACCAACACUGAC